UACAGUGAGUCUGUCUAAACUGGGCAAGGACCUUUCAACAGGGUCUCUUUUUUUCUUUUCUUUGUCUUUUUGUUAGUUGACAACUUCAGCAAGGCAGGACUCAUGUAUGCUUGGAUCACCAGUCUGUUCUAGAGGUCUGCGUGGCUCUCAGUUAAUUGCACAUACUCAAGAUUGGAAAGAACAGUAUUGUUCUGUAGCUUUUCUUGCCUGACUUCAGACCGAAAACAGGGACUGUUCCCCGGGGAGGAACCCUGGGGGGAUAAAUCUUGCUUGUACAAUGUUCCAAGGACUCCCUCCUGAACUGCAUUAAUUACUGGUGUAAACAAAGAUGGAAGAUUAUGAUCAGUCUUAUCGAUAAAUCCUCAGCUUGCUGCAGUCAAGUUCCUUGGGUUAGACCACAUUAAUCAUCAGGCAAGAGGGAACAUCAAAAGCUCUCUCAUGAGGCCCAUUGAUGAAGAGACAGUAAUUUGAGUUCCUUACAAAGCGGCCCAUUGAAAACCAGCUGGGCUCUCCCUCACACUCCUUUCAAUGAAUCUCCUUUGAACUGUUUAUUGGCUCCCCACCUGCUGCCCAGGUUGAGUUGCUGGCUGCCAAAUGUCAACUUUCACAGCUCGAUGAGUUCCUUUCUGAGCCUGUCACCAAUAAACUAUGUGAAAUACCAUCUCUUUUUCUUCAAGCAACAGCAUAGCAACCCAGAUGUCUAUACCCAAAAAUGCAUGGAACAAAAGAAAAGAAGUAUGAUUUAUUGAGACGACACAUCCAUUUCAUCUAAGAGGGUACUGGAAUUGAACUGAUGCAAACGGCUACCAGCCAUCAAGCGUCUAUUCUCUACCAAGCCUUUGCACAUUGUUUGAAUACUUAUAAACGUCUGGGGGUGGAUACAAGAGGAGUGAGCCUGAAAAUGGCAUGGAAUACUUCUGGUAACCGGCAGUGGGCAAGACUGAUAAGAAAUGGGCCCAUGAGGGAAGAAAACUCCCUCAGGAUUGCAUAGACACUUGCAGUGUUGAAGCAGAGCUAGAAGACUGCCAAGCCCAGCCUCCCCCUCUUCUGUGCGCUCUGCAAAUGCUUGUUCCAAAGUUCCCUGGGGGUGGGGUCUGGGAAGGUGUUUAGACAAGUAGUGAGGGGAUUCCUGUCCCAGCUCUCCAGAAGAGGGGAGCACUAAUUUCAGGGACCAGUGCCAGCUGUCUGCUCCAAGUACACGCACCCAUCAGUGGCUAGUACUUGUUCCUUCCAAAUCAAAGUUCUUUUCCUGGCUCUGUUACUAAUGGUUGAAGGAGGGGAGAAAGGCCAAAGGAAGAAAUGGUUAAAGGAGUGAAAAAGAACACAACUCACUGUUUGUAGAGGCUGGGGCUUGGGGGAAGAAAGUAAAAACACAGUUCCCCACACAUUCGGCCAGGUCCAAGAUAACUGUGAUGUUUUCAAUUCGCUCUGAUUCCUUCCCCUAGACCCCAUUCACUGCAGCCUGUCAUCAGCUCACACCUUCUUUCUCCUCUCCCUUCACAGACUUUCUUCGACCUUAGGGCUGGCCAGGCAUCUUCCCUUGAUCCAAUAGCAAGCCACAAAAUUCUCCUUACCCGCCUAGAUGUCAUCAUGGGUGAUAUACAUAAGUAAGGUUACUAAAAUAAAUCACCUUCAAUCUGGCAUCUGUCCCUACACAUUUACCGUCCCACAGAUCAGUGCUCCUAGAAAUACAAAAUCCCGUCUCUAUUGUCAUGUUGCCUUUUUGAAAUCCAUCACUCGAAAACAAAGGGAGGCAUAUCAAAUGUCUGGCGGAAGGUAUCUUGUGCUGGGAUUAUCCCUAAAAGGAAAGGGAUAAUUAUUUGCCUAAUUUAUGAAAGAGAUAAAGUAGAUUCAUUUUCAUAAGCAAGGGACAAAUAUUUUCUACACAUUCAGUGGCUUUCUUUGGUACCCUGCCAUUUGAUUGUGUUCUUUUUGAUUGCUUUUAUUCAUGUUAGCUAAGAGUCUGUUAUCUUGAAUUAGUACAAAGCUUUGCUUAUUUAAAAAGGGAAAAGAGUAGGUCUUGCAGUAGAACUUGAAAAGCACUGAAGUAUGUAAAAUUGAAGCACAUUCAAGCAUUCUUUUUUGAAAGUAGUAAUUACAACAGUGGAGAAGAUGUCAGGCUGCAGAAACACUAUCCUUCAAGAGUACAGGCACGCAUACUGUUAAUGCGUUCCAUGGCAUUCAGGUUGGCACGGAUUUCUAAUAUUCUUUACAAUAUCUACUAUUGUUUGAAUACACCCUCCCAGGAGUUCAUAUUCCAGAAACCCCAUACUCAAGGCUGUGUUAAGGCUAUUUGGAGGUGAGGCUUUGGUGCUUUCAUCAGGAUUAGUUGGGCUAAUGAGGGAAGAGGCACCAUAUGGGAUUUCGCUAGUGACCUUAAAGAAGAGGGAGAAAGUCCUAGCCUCUGCCAAAUGAUGAUGAAUGUUCUUCUCUUUCCUAUCCUCUAGAGCCAGGUGGCAGAUAUUUAUAGUGUGUGUGAUGCUAGGAACUGUAUAUAGGUCCCACAUACACUAGGUAGGCAGUCUGCUAUUCAACAACUUUGAUUAUUUAUUUCUUGGACUCUGGUGUUUUGUUAUAGGUAACAACAAAAACAAGAGACAUGGAAGGGUUGGGGGGAAAAGGAGGGGAGGAGAAGUAAUUAGAUUUUAAUUAAAAUAAAAACAAAGCAACACAAUAAGAUAUCUAAAUCUACAGAGUGUAAUACAUGAGGAGACCAAUAAAAAUAAAUCUUAUUUCUUAUUUA